UUUGUGGAGAAGAUUUAAUAUUAAACAUGCUUCAAAUAAAGAAUGUUAUUAUACCGUAAUAAAAAAUUGUUAUAAUGAAGCAUAUCAGAAUUACAAAUAGAGGAAAUGAAGAAAGCUCUUUACUCUAGAGUAUUUUCUUCCACUAUUCACAACUGUCUGAGCAGUGAGGAGGAAACCUGAUGAUAUGUAGAGCUGAGCUCCAUGUGACUGACUGUGUGUGUUUGCAUAUGUGUCCUGCCUCUCUGCUCCAGCUGUUAAGAGGUCAGAGUUGAUCAGUGGCUGUCCAGGCCUUUCAGAGCCACUGACACACCAGCAGCACAAUGAUGAUGUCACUGACUCUACUGCUGACCAUCCUGGGGCUCCUGGUUCAGAGUUCUUCAGGAGACAUCAUCUUGACUCAGACUCCUGGAGCUCAGUCUGCUGUUCAGGGACAGACCGUCUCCAUCAGGUGUAAAUCUGACCGACUGAUUGGUGAUGACAUCAACUGGUAUCUUCAGAAACCUGGAGAAGCUCCCAAACUUUUGAUUGUGGAUACCACAGAACGUCAGUCUGGAGUUCCUGAGCGUUUUCGUGCAAAAGCAGAACAGACUGACUUCACUUUAACCAUCAGUGGAGUUCAGGCUGAGGAUGCAGGAGUUUACUAUUGUCAGCAACAUAACAGCUUCCCACUCACACAGUGAUAC